CGCUUGGUUCAUCCGGGACAUUGCUCUCUUCUCAGAUACUCCCAUAUACAUGUCCCACUCACUGCUUUCCUUCUCAUUGGGUCGCCUGUCACCUGCCACCUUCUCAGGGAAGUGUCACCUGGUCACCCUCCCCACAACAAUCUCAUUGCUUUUUUUUUUAUUGCAACACAUCACAUUCAAGUUACUUAUUUUAUUUUGCUAACUCCUUGCAUGAAUACAAGCUCUGUGAAGGCAGAAGCUUUUGAGGUUCCUCUUAUUCAGAGCUGCCACCUAGAGUAGUCCCUCGCUGGUGUUUCCCGACGGUGGCGGCCACUGGAUAGAUGCUGUCACUACUGUUGGCACUUUUCUGGGCACUUUGCGUGUUAUAACUCAUUUCCUGUCUUCUGCAGCCUUGUUGGUUUCUUCAUUGGGCAGAUAAGCAAGCUGAAGGCAGGAAAGACCGGCCCAGAUUCCUGGAGGAGCUAAGAUUCCAACCCAGGCAGUCUGAUCUCUUGAGACUUUGGGCUUUCCUAACUUCUUUGCAACUAUGUGUUGAGGUUGUGGGUGGAUGGAUGGACAGACUCACAGGUAGACAGAUGCUUAGAGAGGAGAUAAGGCAGGCUGGCAGUGUCACGUUAGCUCAUGCUGUGGUGAAA